CCCUUAGAUGUUCUGGGCAGCACGCGCGCUACAAUGGUCUUCGCAAACGGAUGCAUUCUCGAAGGAGAAUGCCAAUCUUGGAAUCUAUGCCUUGGUCGGGACAGUUGCUUGCAAUUUUUCGACUCGAACCAGGAAUUCCUUGUAAUCGUGAUUCAUCCCAUCACGAUGAAUACGUCCCUGCCCUUUGUACACACCGCCCGUCGCUCCUACCGAUCGAAGAGUUAGGUGAAUUGUUUUGAUCGAUAAGAUUUGACUAUGGUCAACUCUCGUUGUGAAAUUCUGUGAAUCUGACUGUUUAGAGGAAGGAAAAGUCGUAACA
rnacentral:rRNA from 1 species